CCUACGGGAGGCAGCAGUGGGGAAUAUUGGACAAUGGGCGCAAGCCUGAUCCAGCAAUGCCGCGUGUGUGAAGAAGGCCUGCGGGUUGUAAAGCACUUUAAGCAGGGAGGAGGGGUACUGGCGUGAAUAGCGUUGGUAUCUGACGUUACCUGCAGAAUAAGCACCGGCUAACUUCGUGCCAGCAGCCGCGGUAAUACGAAGGGUGCAAGCGUUAAUCGGAAUUACUGGGCGUAAAGCGCGUGUAGGCGGUUAUUUAAGUCAGAUGUGAAAGCCCCGGGCUCAACCUGGGAAUGGCAUUUGAUACUGGGUAACUGGAAUGUGGUAGAGGGAGGCGGAAUUUCCGGUGUAGCGGUGAAAUGCGUAGAUAUCGGAAAGAACACCAAUGGCGAAGGCAGCCUCCUGGGCCAACAUUGACGCUGAGACGCGAAAGCGUGGGGAGCAAACAGGAUUAGAUACCCUGGUAGUCCACGCCCUAAACGAUGUCGACUAGGUGUUGGGGAAGGUAACUUCCUUAGUACCGCAGCUAACGCGUGAAGUCGACCGCCUGGGGAGUACGGCCGCAAGGUUAAAACUCAAAUGAAUUGACGG
rnacentral:rRNA from 1 species